AAAGGAGCAAAAUUCGUAGAAAAAGAAAAAAAAAUGAAAAAAAGUGUGAAAAGAAUGGAAAAAGAGUUGAAAAGAAGUGAGAAUUACCUCACAUGUGUUGGUUGUUGAAGAAAGGGUCCAAAAAGUUGAAUUUGACCCUAAGUGUUGCAUGAGUCUUCCCCUUGUGUUUAAAAAUUGAUUUUUGCAUGCAAAAGUGAAUUCUAAGUGUCAAUUUCAUUACUUUGCUUAUUAUUCUUUAAGAAUGUUUGUUUAUCCUUACCUUUCUUUGUUAGCCAAUACCUUAGCCCCGUUACAACCCUUUGCUUCUAUCUUGAUUGUUAUGUGUUUCAAUAUGUGGAGUUUGGAAUUGGUAUGAGCAUAUGAUGUCCUUAGUUCUCGCAUCUAAGUAGCAGCAUUCCAUUCAUGAGAUCAUAUACAUACAUUCAUAAUUCCAGAAAAUGCUUUUCUUAUCAUAACAUAUGUGAGCAUUAGUUUUCAUAUUUAUAUCAAUCUUCUCACAUAUAACUAGUGUAGGGUGUGUAGUUAGAAAAUCUGUGUGAAAAUUGAGUGCAUAUCUAGUAAGGAAUUGAGGGAUUCUCUAAGGCAUGUUAUUUCAUUCAGAACAUUGUUUUAAUCGAUUAAAUGUGAGCUAGUAAGUGAUGACUAUGCUUAAGUAUGUGCUUAAGAGUAGGGAUGGCUAAGAUCUAUGUGAGUGGUGAUCUUUUGCAUGUCAUGUACCAUUGGAAAUCCCUGAGGCGAACGUUGGAAGGUUUAGGUUAUGUUUUGUUUCUUUGUUUUGCUCGAGGACUAGCAAAAGCUAAGUGUGGGGGAAUUUGAUAGGAGCAUAUUUUCAUGUGUGUUUUCUUAGUUAAGUUAGUCUUUUAAGCUAUUUUCAUGUGUUUUCAGGUUUUAAGGACAAAGUAAGCAAAAAUAUGCAAUUUGGAGCAUUUUGGAGCAAAAUUGAGCUAGAAUGGAGCUCAUGCAUGUGGAGCACAAAGAAUGGACGAAUUUGAAGGCUUGAAGAAGCUAGGAAUGUGUUUCAAAGUUGAAGAAUUGAAGAUGCAAAGUUUCCUAAUUGAAGUAGGAAAGUGCCUAAUUGAAGAUGAAAUCCUAGUCAACAAUGGAUUCCUAGUUGAAGAAUGAUUCCUAGUUGAAGUUGGAUUUCUAGAAGAUUGAAGAUUCCUACUCAAACAAGAUUUCCUACUUGAAGAAGGAAAGUUAAAGCCAAAGAAUCAGCUCAAGUGAAGAAACCUUAUCCAAAACAUUAUCCAUAACCUUAUCUUAGCUUAUCUUAUCCAAACAAACCUUAUCCUAUCCUAUCUUAUCCUAAUCCUAAUCCACCUAUAUUUCAGCUGCGAGGGAGGAUUCCUAACUAUAUUAGGAUGCUUAAAAUCAGAUUUCUAGAAGACCUAAUCCUUUCCUACAAAGGUGGCGCCUAGAACCCUUCUAGAAGCCUAAAAAUCUGCCUUGUAUGUUCCUUCUCGAAACCCACCCUUUGCCGCACCCUAUAUCCUAUUUCCCUUGGGUUUUUGACCUUCUAGAUGUCCUAUUUCCUAUUAGGAGUGCAUAACUAUUUCCUAGUGGGAUUGUAUUUACUAAAUCCUUUUCCUAUGCUAACUUAGCCAUAAAUUCAGCCUAUAUAUAUGUAGUGUGUUGGAAAUGUGCCCUAAAACCAAUCAUAUGAUGAUACUUUACGGACAUUUCACAUGUUAAACUAAUCUAGUUUAAUAUCAAGGGCAUAUAUUAUUGUUUUAAGCCGUCUCAUAUAAAUGUUAUAUGCUUAAACGAUAAGUCCAAGGAAUAUGUGAUUGGGAGAAUGCGAUUUAGGAAGGCGUUCCAAAUCACAUUCAAGGUAAUCAUAUAAGCACAUGAAUCACA
rnacentral:lncRNA from 1 species